UGCUGUGAGGUUAUUCACUCCCGCAGCUCCUAAAGCCAGGGACUCAGAGGAAUCACCUGGCUUUUCCGAUCUCAUUUAGGAGAGUGGCCCAGAACUGUGCUACAGUGUGGCAACGGGCCCUUUAACAAGGGCCUCAAGCGAUUAUGAUGUAACCAGCGCUUGGCACACGGUGUCAGCCGCCUCUGAGUCCUUCUACAGAGGCAGACGGAGAUGAAGGGGUUUACCCCAUGUCCAGCAGCUAGCAAUUUAAGGCACGCCAGAAUCCAGGAACCCGGUCCACGUGACAGCCUCACUUCCCAGGAUCGCUGGUCCCUCCAUCCAAAACCGGCACGAUUGGACCUUUGCAACAUUCUGCCAGCUAUCCUGAUCUCUGUGGCAUGUUUGCUCAAUAGCAGAGCUCACUGAAAGGAGGACUACCAGCUGCUGGCUGUAGAGCUGGAGGUGCAAGGACCAUCAAACAUGUCCAGGUGAUGCUGUGGCGAUGGGAAAGGAUCAGGUGCUUUAAGCCCUCGGGAGUCGACUUGGAUCCACGUUGGACAGCAUUUGCCAGGCCCAAGCGGCACUUGAUUGUACCACAGAGCAUGAACAGUGAAGUGAAAACAGUUAGCUACUCCAGGAUGUGGCCAGCACUCCAGCUUUCCCAGGUCCCCCAAAGAUGAACAAUGCCCAAAUCAGCAGGAAGUAGUCCUGAGAAUAUAUAUGGCGUCCUCAUCCCUACCUCACCUGCUACCCCUUUCUAAUUCCUCACCUUUAUAUAAUAAAUAAAAAGGGAGGCAUGUUAGUACUCAAGCCUCUAUACAGCAGCCCCACCAGAGACCAGACUGACAAUUCUGAAUGGAAGGCAAAGCUACCAGUGAAGGAGAGAGCAGAUCUGUUGAGGGUGGGGCAGGUGGAUAGGGUCGGUGAGCUCCGCAAUACUUGGGUUGUCCAUCCUCUGCUGCAGACACUAAGAGCACCUCCUGUGCACAUUCACCACGGUCCCUUUUAAGGGCCCUGCCCACCUCCCAUCCCUCUGUCUCCAUCUGCCUGUCCAUCUGACCCCUUUUUCUUAUGUCCCCAGAGGCCAGUCUCCC